UACAGAGGGUGCAAGCGUUAAUCGGAAUUACUGGGCGUAAAGCGUGCGUAGACGGUUAUGUAAGUCGGGUGUGAAAGCCCCGGGCUCAACCUGGGAAUGCCAUUCGAGACUGCAUAGCUAGGGUGCGGAAGAGGGAAGCGGAAUUUCCGGUGUAGCGGUGACAUGCGUAGAUAUCGGAAGGAACACCAGUGGCGAAAGCGGCUUCCUGGUCCAGCACCGACGUUCAGGCACGAAAGCGUGGGGAGCAAACAGG
rnacentral:rRNA from 1 species